UACGUAGGUGGCAAGCGUUGUCCGGAAUUAUUGGGCGUAAAGCGCGCGCAGGCGGUCCUUUAAGUCUGAUGUGAAAGCCCACGGCUCAACCGUGGAGGGUCAUUGGAAACUGGGGGACUUGAGUGCAGAAGAGGAAAGUGGAAUUCCAAGUGUAGCGGUGAAAUGCGUAGAGAUUUGGAGGAACACCAGUGGCGAAGGCGACUUUCUGGUCUGUAACUGACACUGAGGCGCGAAAGCGUGGGGAGCAAACAGG
rnacentral:rRNA from 1 species